rnacentral:rRNA from 1 species
AUUGAACGCUGGCGGCAUGCUUUACACAUGCAAGUCGAACGGUAACAGGCCGCAAGGUGCUGACGAGUGGCGAACGGGUGAGUAAUGCAUCGGAACGUGCCCAGUCUUGGGGGAUAACUACUCGAAAGAGUAGCUAAUACCGCAUACGAUCUAUGGAUGAAAGCGGGGGACCGUAAGGCCUCGCGCGAUUGGAGCGGCCGAUGUCAGAUUAGGUAGUUGGUGGGGUAAAGGCUCACCAAGCCAACGAUCUGUAGCUGGUCUGAGAGGACGACCAGCCACACUGGGACUGAGACACGGCCCAGACUCCUACGGGAGGCAGCAGUGGGGAAUUUUGGACAAUGGGCGCAAGCCUGAUCCAGCAAUGCCGCGUGCAGGAAGAAGGCCUUCGGGUUGUAAACUGCUUUUGUACGGAACGAAACGGCUCUGGUUAAUACCCGGGGCUAAUGACGGUACCGUAAGAAUAAGCACCGGCUAACUACGUG